ensembl:lncRNA
GGAAGAACCUUGUUAAAUGGACAGGGAUAACUACUGGAGGUGACAGAAGACACGUGCAGGUUUCAGGAAGGACAGCAGAACUGCCGGUAAAUACGAACCUACCCUUCCCAUUGCAGGUUCGGCGUUUGUGCCCUACCCUUGCCUGCCCAGCCUUCCUUCCUCCUCACACUCGCUGCUACCCACUGACCGAGGCGCUGAGCAGAAGUAGCAAUCGCUUACCGGCCUGCAGCCCGGCCCCGAGGCUCCCAGCCCUGCCGGCCCCGGCCCACCACACUCCUCUUGCCGGGGCACCUCUCUAAUCACCCCCCAGCCCGGGGAGGGAGCACUGACUGGGGUGGCCCGGCCGCAGGGUGAAGUCACCCGGUGACCCUGUCACCAAAAGGCCUCACCGUUUUUGGCAAGCCCAGCAGAACAGGGAUUCCCAACUGCUCAGCUCCUUCCAAGGCAAAGCUCCCUGGCUGGGAAAGGCCUCUGGUACAGUGUAUCCCACUGUCACCGCUUCAGAGCGAUCCACUGAGCUGGGAUUGGAACACACUGUGGAAGUGAUCCCACUCCUGACACCCUGCCAGCUAUCACAAGAUGCACAUUCACAGCUGCAAUAUAAUGUGGUUUCACUGAAGUCAGUAAUCUUAGGACCAGAUUCGCAAACCGAGAUCCAGCAGACAUUUGCAGGAAACAUAUCCCCUGUCUUGUGCAGCUCAUAGUCCUCAAUCCUUUCUGGAGGAGACUUCCUCUCCUACCAGCAAGGAUCAACUGCCGACAUCACCUGCUACUUUUCCUCCAUGCCUUAAGUGCUCAUCUCAACGCAGAACACAUCAAUUCCCAGAUCUGGAAGUCUUAAGCCCUCAGUUCUCGCUUAUUAGGGCUCCUAAUCACUGGGCUGUUCUCAUGGGGAAAAAUCCCCACCCCACCCCUCCUUUGAAGGCAUUUCACUUUGCAUAAAAAUGCACUAGGCCGGGGGAAGGAGAAGGAAGGAACGAGACUAUUAAGUCUGCUGGUUGCGGUGCUUGCCAAAGCCUGGAGCUCCCAUCUCCCAGUCAGCAGCGCUCAGAAGCAGAUUUAAUCAGGUUCCCACCAAGUCUUCCUUCACCCAAGAGAAAAAACGUUCUGCACGAAAAAGAGGGCAGGAGAUGAAGUGGGCUCUUGAGAUAUGGUUUUAAAGAAGAAAAAAGUACUGGCCAGAUUCAGACAGACUCUCGCACAGGAAGCUCAUGCAAGUCUGAAGACUACAGAGGAGGCUGCUUCACAGCUGACCAUGUGGUGACAAAGCAGUAGGAUAAGAGGAUGGCCAAUUGGAAAAGAAAGUAAUUUUCUGUCCCCAACUACAACUGACCUGUUGGGACCAAUACUGGAAGUGAGCCACUGCACGGAGCAGCGUGACCCCUUGGGAGAAAGGACCAUAGAGACCUGUGGCUGCAAGAGGGAGGAAAACAAUGUACGUUUGCAGAACACCUCUGAAAAGGGAACAGAUGAACUGAAACUCUGAUCAUUUUCCCCCUACUGAUUAGUAUCUACACAGAUAAAGAGAUCAUAUAAUUCUAUAUGAUAAUUCUAAUUCUAUCUAUGAUAUAAAAAUGUGUACAAAGGACAAACUAGCAGGAUUACUUUGAUAGCAGUGUUUUUACUUUCUAUUACAUGUACAUGUCUGAACAACUCCAAAGUGUCAGCUGUCAGAAUUCAAGAGGCUUCCUGUCAUGCUCUGCAUUUCCCAGAGAACAUCCCUUUGUGCCCCUCAGCCAGCAGUGGCACCCAUUACUCACUUGUGCUCCUUUAAACCCACAGGGCACCUGGGCAUCUGUUGCACCAAAUACAGCAUGUUGUGUGAUGAAAAGAUGGUCGCUCUUCAAAAGAAGAAGUUCCAGUAUUUGCUAAAACAGUUCUAUACAGGUUAAUACUCGAAUAUCUGUAGUAGGCCUUGCCAGGGGAAGUUUCCAGGAACAGUACUAAAUUUAUGAUGAAUGGCAACAGAUGGUCAUUGGAAAUAGUAACUUAAGGAAACGUGAUAUGACUACGAUAGGCAAUGCAAGCCGAAGGACAUCAUUCACAGCCUCUGUCAAGUCUCCAACAAGAAGCCUAAGUAUAUGCCUAUCUUGAAGCAUUCGAGCAAUCCCUUUCAAGUCAGUAGUAAUCAGGUUUUUAAGUUCCUUCUGUGUCUACAGGUUUAUUUUCGUUUUAACUAACUGUAAAGCUUAUACACUAUGUGGUAUAAACACUAAUAGAACAAAUUCAGCACUGCUGUAAAGUGGCACAGUUCCACUGACAUCAAUUGAUCAAUGUCUUGCUCAAGACCUGGUAUUUAUGUUUAUAAGCACUUUCUAGGCUGUACACUGUUUCGCUUGCCUUGUUUUGCUUUCAGCAAAGCUCUUUUUAGUACAACAACUCACCGUCUUUCUAGUCAGACUUUGUUUAUAAAACCCUUAUUGUUCAGGAACAAUACAGUUGUGACCUGUUAGAAUGAAGGGCUGCAAUUGGGGCCCUCUCCAUACUUUCUCAGGACACGCUUUGGGUUAGAGUGAAUGCAACACACAGCCCUAUUGAUGUCAGCCAGGAGGGGAAAAAUAGAUCCCCCCAAUAAAUCUAAACAUAAAUCUUUUUGCUCUAUCUCACCAUCUGUAUAAAGCAACCUAGAGCACAAAAUUAAUAAGUAGAGCAAGUAUCCCCAAGCCUACAAGGCUGAAAUACUGCUUGCCAUUGUAUUUGGUUUAUACUUUGUUUGCGUGAAGGAAUUUAUAGGCACAGAAAGCAACAGGUGGAAACAUAACUUGGGUAAGACAAAGUGAGCAAGAUUGACUCUAACAUCAUGAAUAUGCUUCAGUCUUGUGUGUCAGUUCCCUCUGACCUCUUCUAAAUUUCUUCAGGAGGAUGUUUGUGACUUCUUAUUGUUUCUUAGUUUUAGAUCUCUUAGGGCAAGUGUUUCAGUGAACUUUCAAGGGGGAAGCGAUUUUUGAAACUGCAACAAAUUUCUUCUGCACUCUGAAUAAUAACUCAUGCACUUAGACUUAUUCAAUCAAAGGACACACCAAAAACGUUGUCCUAAUACCUCAGUGGCAUGUGGGGCCUUAACUGGUAGCAAGCAACUCAGUUUCACUGAAAUCAACAAGCCGUGCUAGCUUACACUAACUGUGGAACUGCCCUUCUGCCUUAGGUUGGCCCUUUUGUAUUACACAGCCUUUUAUAAAGGAUAGUACUAAUUUUUCAUGCAAGUGUAAGACACAGCUGUUGCAUUUUCUUCCUAGUCUGUAGGCACCUUUAAACCUCCUCUGCUAAUUUUCCGUGUUUAUCAAAGCUGCUCUCACAGAUGCAUAUGUAGUUAAGAGAGAGGAGUGGAUCAUAAGCAGCGUUGUCUCCUUUUCCUUUCCUUAUUGUCAGCAUUGUCGUACAAGUUCCUCAGGGCACAGCACACACAGUUUUGCAUCUAUGACUCCAUGCGCAGAUGUGAUCCUGACUGUAUCAGAUAUUCUACUAACUAAAAUGAACUAUACAUAGUAACUGUAAUACAACUGACACUACUAAUACUAAUUUUCCUUGUCUUUCUUCUCUAAUUCAUUAGAUUAUUGAAUUCUCCCUGCCAUCCCAAUGCUUCAUUUUCUACGCCUUCUUUGCAUGCUUAGGAUCGCUACAGCUUACAAGAUACUAAACCCAAACCAUUUUAAUUACAAAAGACUGAGAGGCCCCAGAAGCUUUCAUGACCAUCUAGAUGUACCCUAGUUACUAACAGAGUAGAAAAAAUCUUCACUGUAUUAAUAGGGGGAAAGAAACAAGUAGAUAAGCCAGUAAAAAAUACUUAUUAGGAGAAUGAAACAUCAUCUAACCCUGGGUAAUUUUCGCAUUAUAAAGGACAUGCAGCAUCACCUGAUGAAAUGUAAACCUUUUACUAGUAGAGAUCUGUUCAGUGGAAAUCACUUCCUGAAUUCACUGAACUACAACACAGAAUAAUUAGUGCUGAGUAUAUAUUUAAAUACAAUAAUUCACUCAGUUGUUUCGACAAUGUUUAGAGUUGUAAUGAGAUAAACAAAAGCAUACAUCUUUAAUGCCUUUGACCCUUGCUAUUCAGAUUCUGAAGAAAUAGAAAAAACAAUUUCCGAAGUUAUAAAUAGUUUAAUUUCAACUAUUUCACUGCAUAAAACAUGUCUGCAAACAAGCUUUUCUCUCAUCUAUGCAUUAUGGAAAAAUCCUGUGGAGUUGUUUAUAUCAGUAUCUAUACGUUGAUAAAAAAUUAAUAGCAAUAGCAGUCAAAAUUACAAGUUAAGUUUUACCAGUUUAUGUACACAUGCCCACACCAUACACGUAUGUAGUGACACACACACACACAUUCCCCUUUCUGAAUCCCACAGGCCUUGACUGAAGUAAUGUUGCUAUGAAAAACAAACGAAACUUCUUAUAAUUUAUUAGCUGGCUACGGAGUUUAAAUAUAAUCCACACGAAAUAUUUGGGCAGGGAACAAAGGCCCCAUACUGCAGAAAGGAAGGCCUUAGUUCAUUUAAAACCCAGUUCUGCCCCAAGGCGGAUCAAAAAACUUUUAUCAGACCCAGAAAUUAAAUGACCUUCAGACCAUGUCUAGCGGAUGAAUCCUGGGAAUACAGUAUUUUAGCGAAGCCUAACAGUACAAGUACAACAGGCUCAGUCACUUCUGGAAUACCACUAAUAACUCUGGUUUUCUAUUUUCGUCCCUAAUGUCACAGAGCAAUAACACGCACAAACUAAGCACUUGCAAUGAAACAGCCACAACUUUUUUUUUUUUUUUUUUUAAAUAUUCUUUUGCGAAGGCACAUUCUGUCAUUCUGUUUUGGAGGUCAGGCUACAUCUCUUUUAAAUAUGACUUCCUGUAGUCAUUGGUCGAUAGUACUAGCCCUCACUUGGAUUUACCAUGGUUUUUGAACAUGUUUAAGAACAGGAAGGAAGAUGGUCAAAGAACAGAGAAGUUGCUUCACAACAGAGCAGAGAACGGAAGAGUUUUCCAUAGCUUCAGUGGAUGAGGGCUCAGAUAACAACAUCUAAGUGUAUUCUAGAUGAUUAAUACAAUAUGAGCUUUCAACAUAAGUUUAAAUCACCACUCAGGAAAGAAAAAAAGCAAAAAAGCCAGGGAGAGCACCAAAGCAAGCAAACAAAUGGAACCUCCAGCCUGGUUGCUUAAACACACGCUUCAAUGCGGCUUUCUGUCCAGCAUCAAUACAGCAACAACAGCACAACAGAUUUCCAGCCUGUGAGACUUUCAAGCACUACUGCAGUGAGCAACAACAGCAGAAAUCCAGCUUCAAUGAAAUCAUUUAUAAAUUUGAAUUACUACUUACAUUUUUGUAGUCAUUCUGACAAGAGGAUUUUUCUACAUAUUCCAUUUGAGCAGAGCAUAUUCAAGUGCUUUGUAGCAAGUAGAUACUGUUCUAAACAUGAAAAAAAUAUCAAAAUAAAUAUUUAAUUAUUGCUAAGGACUCCAUCUUAAUCAAUUUCUACUAGAGGGAAAAUGUUAUUGUAAAUGCAUCAAAACUAAAGACAUGUUAACAUGUGAUUUUGUAAAAUAACUGUUCUCCUGAACCAAUGCAUAUUCAUCACAUAACCUUCUAUAGCAAAUUCCAGGGAACUUAAUUUAAAUUACUACUUUGAAAAUAGUUUGAUUCAAAAUAAUUAGCUAGGUAACAUUAUUGAAGAUGCACAGCUAUUGAUAAUACAACUUAUUAACAUCUGAUCAGUGUUCUCAAAUCUGUAUCAACCAACCUGUACAUACCCACUCAAUGGCUAACCACUCCUAACGAUGUAGAAUUUCAACAGAAAAGGAUGGUAAUGAUGAAACAGAGCUGCUUCUUAUGCAUAAGGUUGACAUAAUGGAUCAGACCAGGAGAUGAAAUAAGGCAGGGAAUCCACUGCUGUUCCUCCAGGACUUGUGAAGAUAAAAAGGAAUAUCCAUCCAGCAACUUCAACAAAGAACUCAUUUUCUGUAAGGAAAAUAAGGAAAUCAAUUGAAAUUAAAGAUCUAAAAGGAACUCUUAAUAAUGCUCCUCUUCCCAUCCUAAG